AUUGAACGCUGGCGGAAUGCUUUACACAUGCAAGUCGAACGGCAGCACGGGAGCUUGCUCCUGGUGGCGAGUGGCGAACGGGUGAGUAAUAUAUCGGAACAUGUCCAAUAAUGGGGGAUA
rnacentral:rRNA from 1 species